rnacentral:rRNA from 1 species
AGUGAACGCUGGCGGCAGGCCUAACACAUGCAAGUCGAACGGCAGCACGGCAGUAGCAAUACUGUGGGUGGCGAGUGGCGGACGGGUGAGGAAUACAUCGGGAUCUACCCUGUUGUGGGGGAUAACGUAGGGAAACUUACGCUAAUACCGCAUAAGAACUGAGGUUGAAAGCGGCGGACCGCAAGGCGUCGCGCGAUUGGAUGAACCGAUGUCCGAUUAGCUAGUUGGCGGGGUAAAGGCCCACCAAGGCGACGAUCGGUAGCUGGUCUGAGAGGACGACCAGCCACACUGGAACUGAGACACGGUCCAGACUCCUACGGGAGGCAGCAGUGGGGAAUAUUGGACAAUGGGCGCAAGCCUGAUCCAGCCAUGCCGCGUGGGUGAAGAAGGCCU